UUUGAGAGAGUGACAGUUGGCAAAGGGAUUCAAAUGGAGUCUCUGUUCUUCCGGCUGUACUGCAUGUGAUUCUGAGGGACCACUACGACUCGUUUAAGAGUGAGAGACGGGUGGGCAACGUCUACUCCAAGUCCAAGUCUUCGUGGACUACGUCCGUAAAGCUCUGGGCCGGCUGGAACUGGACAUUCCAAGGUCAGGAGACCACCCUGGUC